GUGACUGUAAUGAAGAAGAAUGAAUAAUAAAGAUAAUGAAUAAUAUAAAAAAUAUAAAAUAACUUCUUUAUAAAUUAAGAUAAGAAAAUUGGCUUUUGUUAUGAAACUAUUUAAUAUUCAGACUGUAAUAAAGAAAAAGAAAUUCUAAUGGUGUUAUUUUCUACACGAGGUCGUUUAUUUGUGUCUGUGAUUGGUUAUUUAUGCUUGUUAUUCGAUUUUUGUUGGUUUGCGGGGGCGGAAGU